GGGUUGUGAGGUUAAGCGACUAAGCGUACACGGUGGAUGCCCUGGCAGUCAGAGGCGAUGAAGGGCGUGCUAAUCUGCGAUAAGCGCCGGUAAGGUGAUAUGAACCGUUAUAACCGGCGAUACCCGAAUGGGGAAACCCAGUGUGACUCGUCACACUAUCAUUAACUGAAUCCAUAGGUUAAUGAGGCGAACCGGGGGAACUGAAACAUCUAAGUACCCCGAGGAAAAGAAAUCAACCGAGAUUCCCCCAGUAGCGGCGAGCGAACGGGGAGGAGCCCAGAGCCUGAAUCAGCAUGUGUGUUAGUGGAAGCGUCUGGAAAGGCGCGCGAUACAGGGUGACAGCCCCGUACACAAAAGCGCAUGUGCUGUGAGCUCGAUGAGUAGGGCGGGACACGUGGUAUCCUGUCUGAAUAUGGGGGGACCAUCCUCCAAGGCUAAAUACUCCUGACUGACCGAUAGUGAACCAGUACCGUGAGGGAAAGGCGAAAAGAACCCCGGCGAGGGGAGUGAAAAAGAACCUGAAACCGUGUACGUACAAGCAGUGGGAGCACCCUUCGGGGUGUGACUGCGUACCUUUUGUAUAAUGGGUCAGCGACUUAUAUUCUGUAGCAAGGUUAACCGUAUAGGGGAGCCGGAGGGAAACCGAGUCUUAAUUGGGCGUUAAGUUGCAGGGUAUAGACCCGAAACCCGGUGAUCUAGCCAUGGGCAGGUUGAAGGUUGGGUAACACUAACUGGAGGACCGAACCGACUAAUGUUGAAAAAUUAGCGGAUGACCUGUGGCUGGGGGUGAAAGGCCAAUCAAACCGGGAGAUAGCUGGUUCUCCCCGAAAGCUAUUUAGGUAGCGCCUCGUGAAUUCAUCUCCGGGGGUAGAGCACUGUUUCGGCUAGGGGGCCAUCCCGGCUUACCAACCCGAUGCAAACUGCGAAUACCGGAGAAUGUUAUCACGGGAGACACACGGCGGGUGCUAACGUCCGUCGUGAAGAGGGAAACAACCCAGACCGCCAGCUAAGGUCCCAAAGUCAUGGUUAAGUGGGAAACGAUGUGGGAAGGCCCAGACAGCCAGGAUGUUGGCUUAGAAGCAGCCAUCAUUUAAAGAAAGCGUAAUAGCUCACUGGUCGAGUCGGCCUGCGCGGAAGAUGUAACGGGGCUAAACCAUGCACCGAAGCUGCGGCAGCGACGCUGAUGCGUUGUUGGGUAGGGGAGCGUUCUGUAAGCCUGCGAAGGUGACCUGUGAGGGUUGCUGGAGGUAUCAGAAGUGCGAAUGCUGACAUAAGUAACGAUAAAGCGGGUGAAAAGCCCGCUCGCCGGAAGACCAAGGGUUCCUGUCCAACGUUAAUCGGGGCAGGGUGAGUCGACCCCUAAGGCGAGGCCGAAAGGCGUAGUCGAUGGGAAACGGGUUAAUAUUCCCGUACUUGGUGUUACUGCGAAGGGGGGACGGAGAAGGCUAUGUUGGCCGGGCGACGGUUGUCCCGGUUUAAGCGUGUAGGUGUGUGUUCCAGGUAAAUCCGGUUCACUUUAACACUGAGGCGUGAUGACGAGGCACUACGGUGCUGAAGCAACAAAUGCCCUGCUUCCAGGAAAAGCCUCUAAGCAUCAGGUAACACGAAAUCGUACCCCAAACCGACACAGGUGGUCAGGUAGAGAAUACCAAGGCGCUUGAGAGAACUCGGGUGAAGGAACUAGGCAAAAUGGUGCCGUAACUUCGGGAGAAGGCACGCUGACACGUAGGUGAAGUGAUUUACUCAUGGAGCUGAAGUCAGUCGAAGAUACCAGCUGGCUGCAACUGUUUAUUAAAAACACAGCACUGUGCAAACACGAAAGUGGACGUAUACGGUGUGACGCCUGCCCGGUGCCGGAAGGUUAAUUGAUGGGGUCAGCGUAAGCGAAGCUCCUGAUCGAAGCCCCGGUAAACGGCGGCCGUAACUAUAACGGUCCUAAGGUAGCGAAAUUCCUUGUCGGGUAAGUUCCGACCUGCACGAAUGGCGUAAUGAUGGCCAGGCUGUCUCCACCCGAGACUCAGUGAAAUUGAACUCGCUGUGAAGAUGCAGUGUACCCGCGGCAAGACGGAAAGACCCCGUGAACCUUUACUAUAGCUUGACACUGAACAUUGAGCCUUGAUGUGUAGGAUAGGUGGGAGGCUUUGAAGUGUGGACGCCAGUCUGCAUGGAGCCGACCUUGAAAUACCACCCUUUAAUGUUUGAUGUUCUAACGUGGACCCGUAAUCCGGGUUGCGGACAGUGUCUGGUGGGUAGUUUGACUGGGGCGGUCUCCUCCUAAAGAGUAACGGAGGAGCACGAAGGUUGGCUAAUCCUGGUCGGACAUCAGGAGGUUAGUGCAAUGGCAUAAGCCAGCUUGACUGCGAGCGUGACGGCGCGAGCAGGUGCGAAAGCAGGUCAUAGUGAUCCGGUGGUUCUGAAUGGAAGGGCCAUCGCUCAACGGAUAAAAGGUACUCCGGGGAUAACAGGCUGAUACCGCCCAAGAGUUCAUAUCGACGGCGGUGUUUGGCACCUCGAUGUCGGCUCAUCACAUCCUGGGGCUGAAGUAGGUCCCAAGGGUAUGGCUGUUCGCCAUUUAAAGUGGUACGCGAGCUGGGUUUAGAACGUCGUGAGACAGUUCGGUCCCUAUCUGCCGUGGGCGCUGGAGAACUGAGGGGGGCUGCUCCUAGUACGAGAGGACCGGAGUGGACGCAUCACUGGUGUUCGGGUUGUCAUGCCAAUGGCACUGCCCGGUAGCUAAAUGCGGAAGAGAUAAGUGCUGAAAGCAUCUAAGCACGAAACUUGCCCCGAGAUGAGUUCUCCCUGAGACUUAGAGUCUCCUGAAGGAACGUUGAAGACGACGACGUUGAUAGGCCGGGUGUGUAAGCGCAGCGAUGCGUUGAGCUAACCGGUACUAAUGAACCGUGAGGCUUAACCUUACAACGCCGAAG
rnacentral:rRNA from 1 species